GGCUAGCUUUACUUGAGGAUUUCUAUCACAGGAGUGAAUUAAUCUGUUGUUGAACCUGUUGUCUAGGGAUAGCUUGAUUGCGCUUGUUAACCAUCCCAAUAGGCUAGGAUACCA
rnacentral:sRNA from 1 species